GACACCUAAAGGGACACAGGGACAUGGGGACACCCUAGGGAGGGACAGUGGGGGGACACUGGGGAGGGUGCAGGGAGGAGGUGAGGUCAGGGGGACUGGGGACACCCCAGGGACAAGGGGGACACAGAGACAGUGGGGACACCCAGGGUGACCCUGGAGGAUCGGGGUGGGGACCUAUGGGGAAAAUAUGGGGGACACCCCAAGGGACAGAGAGGACAGCCUGGGGACACACAGGGGACACUCCCAGGGACAGAGAGGAUACCCCAAGGGACACUGUGGGGACAGCCCCAGGGACAGAGGGGACACGUGGACAGCAGCAGGAGGGGACAAGGUGGCCACAGAGGAAUUCUGCAGGGAGGGACCGUUCUUGGGGACACCCGUGGUGACAGAGGGGGCCCUGGGGACAAUGUGGGGACACUGUGGGGACAGAGGGGACAGGGGUGGCCCCACCUGCUCCUGGAAGGCCCCAGCCUGCUCGGGGAACCCGGCCUCGGUGAAAUACUCGACCACGUCCCGCACCGACCACUCCACCGGGUCCACGGCCUUGUCCUUGCGCCCGGGCCUGGGGACAGGGACAGCGUCAGGGACAGUGGGGACAACAUGGGGACACACGGACACAGGGACAGCGUGGGGACACAGACAUGGUCACUGGGACAGGGACAGCGUGGGGACACAUGGACAUGGGGACAGGGACAGCGUCAGGGACAGUGGGGACAGUGUGGGGACACACGGACACAGGGACACCAUAGGGACACACAGACAUGGUCACUGGGACAUAGGGACAGCAUCACAGGGACACACAGACAUGGUCACCAUGAUGGGGACAUGGUCACUGGGACACAGUGUCAUGGGACAUGCGGGGGGACACACAGACAUGGUCACUGGGAUGGGGACACUGUGGGGACACACAGACAUGGUCACCAUGAUGUGGACACUGUGGGGACACACAGACACGGUCACUGGGAUAGGGACACCAUGGGGACACUGGGAGGGACAAGGGGACACCAGGACACGGUCACUGGGACAGGGGACACUGUGGGGACAGGGUCACAGCAACAGGGGGGUGACACAGGGACAUGGUGACAGGGACAUCCAGGGGGACAUGGGGACAGCAGGACACUGGGUGGGACACAGAGGGACA
rnacentral:lncRNA from 1 species